rnacentral:rRNA from 1 species
UACGUAGGGUGCGAGCGUUGCCCGGAUUUAUUGGGCGUAAAGGGCGCGUAGGCGGCUCGGCACGUCCGUUGUGAAAUCGCCCGGCUCAACUGGGCGGGGUCGGCGGAUACGGCCGAGCUGGGAGCAAGCUAGGGGGUAAUGGAAUUCCCCGGUGUAGUGGUGGGAAUGCGUAGAUAUCGGGGAGGGAACACCAGUGGCGAAGGCGGUUACCUGGAGCUUUGCUGACGCUGAUGCGCGAAAGCGUGGGGAGCGAGUCCGG